GCCUGGCCUUAAACCUUAAUAGUUAAAACAACAAAACUAUUCGCCAGAAUACUACAAGCAACAGCUUAAAACUCAAAGGACUUGGCGGUGCUUCAUACCCCCUAGAGGAGCCUGUUCCAUAAUCGAUAAACCCCGAUCCACCCCACCCUCUCUUGCCCAGUCUAUAUACCGCCAUCUUCAGCAAACCCUGACGAAGGCCACGAAGUGAGCGCAAAUGCCCUUACCCGCAAAAACGUUAGGUCAAGGUGUAACCCAUGAGACGGUAAAAAAUGGGCUACAUUUUCUACCUCAGAAAACCCCACGAUAACUCUUAUGAAAUCUAAGAGUCCAAGGAGGAUUUAGCAGUAAAUUAAGAAUAGAGUGCUUAAUUGAACUAGGCCAUAAAGCACGC
rnacentral:rRNA from 1 species